rnacentral:hammerhead_ribozyme from 1 species
GUACUGAUGAAGAGUCCCAAACUAGGAUGAGACGGCUGUCCAGUAC